GCCCAGGUGGUGAAAUUGGUAGACACGCACGGUUCAGGUCCGUGUGCAGCAAUGCAUGGGGGUUCGAAUCCCUUCCUGGGCACCA
rnacentral:tRNA from 2 species